AUAUCAAUAAGCGGAGGAAAAGAAACCAACAGGGAUUGCCUUAGUAACUGCGAGUGAAGCGGCAAAAGCUCAAAUUUGAAAUCUGGCCUCAGCCCGAGUUGUAAUUUGAAGAUGGUAUUUUGGCGGCGACCUUGUACAAGUUCCUUGGAACAGGACGUCAUAGAGGGUGAGAAUCCCGUCUGAUGAGGCCCCCGUCGCCAUGUAAAAUGCCUUCGAAGAGUCGAGUUGUUUGGGAAUGCAGCUCUAAGUGGGUGGUAAAUUCCAUCUAAAGCUAAAUAUUGGCGAGAGACCGAUAGCGAACAAGUACAGUGAUGGAAAGAUGAAAAGAACUUUGAAAAGAGAGUGAAAAAGUACGUGAAAUUGUUGAAAGGGAAGGGCUUAAAGUCAGACUUGGUGCUUUGUGAUCAGCUUCCUUUCGGGGUUGUGCACUCGCAUGUACUGGGCCAGCAUCGGUUUUGGCGGCGGGAUAAGAGCAGAGGAAUGUGGCUCGUUUCGAGUGUUAUAGCCUCUGUUGAUACCGCCAGCCGGGACCGAGGACCGCGCUUUUGCUAGGAUGCUGGCGUA
rnacentral:rRNA from 1 species